rnacentral:rRNA from 1 species
UACGUAGGGGGCGAGCGUUGUCCGGAAUUAUUGGGCGUAAAGCGCGCGCAGGCGGUCCCUUAAGUCUGAUGUGAAAGCCCACGGCUCAACCGUGGAGGGUCAUUGGAAACUGGGGGACUUGAGUGCAGAAGAGGAGAGCGGAAUUCCACGUGUAGCGGUGAAAUGCGUAGAGAUGUGGAGGAACACCAGUGGCGAAGGCGGCUCUCUGGUCUGUAACUGACGCUGAGGCGCGAAAGCGUGGGGAGCAAACAGG